rnacentral:rRNA from 1 species
CGUAGGAGGCGAGCGUUAUCCGGAUUCACUGGGCGUAAAGCGCGUGCAGGUGGCUUGGUAAGUUAGGCGUGAAAUCUCCCGGCUCAACUGGGAGAGGUCGUCUAAUACUACCGGGCUAGAGAGCAGAAGAGGAAGAUGGAAUUCCCGGUGUAGUGGUGAAAUGCGUAGAUAUCGGGAGGAACACCAGUGGCGAAGGCGAUCUUCUGGUCUGUUUCUGACACUCAGACGCGACAGCUAGGGUAGUAAACGGGAUUAGAGACCCCGGUAAUCCUAGCCGUAAACGAUGUGAACUUGGCGUUGGUGGGUUAAACUCCACCAGUGCCGAAGCAAACGCGAUAAGUUCACCGCCUGGGGACUACGGCCGCAAGGUUA